rnacentral:misc_RNA from 1 species
UGGUUCUGGCAUCGAUGAAGAACGCAGCGAAAUGCGAUAAGUAAUGUGAAUUGCAGAAUUCAGUGAAUCAUCGAAUCUUUGAACGCAUAUUGCACCUUAGAGUAUUCUCUAAGGUAUACCUGUUCGAGCGUCGUUUAGAACAAAUAAAGCUAUGCUUUGUAUUGGAUCUUGAUCGUUUGAGAAACGAUCAACCUCUUAAACCCAGAGGUGUGUUAUUUUAUCACAUCCACAAGUGCAGUGAAAAUGUACACCAGUGGUAAAUAAAAUAGGCACCGAUAAAACCCCCAUUAUCCUAAAAGUUCGACCUCGAAUCAAGUAAGACUACCCGCUGA